rnacentral:rRNA from 1 species
UCUCAGUUCGGAUCGGAGUCUGCAACCCGACUCCGUGAAGCUGGAUUCGCUAGUAAUCGCGCAUCAGCCAUGGCGCGGUGAAUACGUUCCCGGGCCUUGUACACACCGCCCGUCAAGCCAUGGAAGCCGGGGGUGCCUGAAGUGUGCAACCGCAAGGAGCGCCCUAAGGUAAAACCGGUGACUGGGGCUAAGUCGUAACAAGGUAGC